rnacentral:rRNA from 1 species
GAUGAACGCUGGCGGCGUGCCUAAUACAUGCAAGUCGAGCGAACAGACGAGUAGCUUGCUCCUCUGACGUUAACGGCGGACGGGUGAGUAAAACGUGGAUAACCUACCUAUAAGACUGGGAUAACUUCGGGAAACCGGAGCUAAUACCGGAUAAUAUAUUGAACCGCAUGGUUCAAUAGUGAAAGACGGUUUUGCUGUCACUUAUAGAUGGAUCCGCGCCGCAUUAGCUAGUUGGUAAGGUAACGGCUUACCAAGGCAACGAUGCGUAGCCGACCUGAGAGGGUGAUCGGCCACACUGGAACUGCGACACGGUCCAGACUCCUACGGGAGGCAGCAGUAGGGAAUCUUCCGCAAUGGGCGAAAGCCUGACGGAGAAACGCCGCGUGAGUGAUGAAGGUCUUCGGAUCGUAAAACUCUGUUAUUAGGGAAGAACAAAUGUGUAAGUAACUAUGCACGUCUUGACGGUACCUAAUCAGAAAGCCACGGCUAACUACGUG